AGCGGCUUCAUUAGCGGACUAAGCUGUGGAAUGAUGAUCUAAUUUCUCCUUCCCUUUCUCUUUGUUGGUAUUCCUGUUUGCUUCUGUGAAGAGAUCAACUGCACUACCUUGGACACAAAUAAUGGAACAUUUUAUGUUGUGCCAAAGUUUGGAAGCAAUGAUUGUGUCUAUUCCUGGAGCAACAACUCAGGCCAUGUUCUGGCAAAUGAUGAGAACAGCAAUGAGGAGCUGAUCAUCAGCUGGAACAGGACAUCGCUACAAACUUACAGCUGCUCUGAGGCUAUAAUGUACUCUCUGGACUGCAUGUCUAUGGGGUAUAAAGCAACAUGUUUUGCUAACUGCACAGGGAGCAGUGGACAUUAUAAAGAAGAAGAAAUCCAGACAAAUCAUUGGCUUAUUCCUGUCUCUGUCAUCUCAGCAGUAGCAAUUGCUGUAAUUUGCUGCUAUGUUCUACGAAACAUACAUUCAAGAUGGAGAGAACGUGUUAACAUGAUUUAACACUGAGGAACAAUCAGGAUCAAGCAAAGGCAGAAAUAGUUUAACAGCACAUGGAGUCCACGUCAUCACCUCCAAGGGAUCCCGCCUAAAAACAACAAGCACUUAGCCAUUCAGGCUAAACAAGACGACAUUAUGAGAUUUAUAAUCCUCUCAUAACAUUUUCAUGCAUCUCUGCAGACUCUGGUUGGCGCCGAUAAGAUCGUCUAUUGCAAACUUUAAAGGGGGGAUCUCUGGAGGUCACCAUCAGAGAGCAGCAGUUGUGAGUGAGGAUAGCAUGAAGUCCCAUGAGGAAUGGAUAUCUGAUGACCUCUCCUGUUCCCCACUGGAUUGUUCAUGUUGCAUAAUGUAUCAUUAUCUCAGUAUCAGAGUAUCUUCUAAAUAUGAAAAGAAAAAAACAAGUUUUUUUAUUAAUAAUGACAAUCCAAGUUAAAUGAAAUGCUAAUCGGAUGACAAAUGUUUAAAGGUACACUGCGGACUUUGUGACCUUAAGAGUUGAUGCAUAUGAGCUUUUUUAAACGAUUCCUCUGGCCGUUAUACAGAGCUUGACUCUAUUAAUGCUAUGAGUGCGGUGCUAUUCUAUGAUAAUUGCAGUUCAG